rnacentral:rRNA from 1 species
GACGAACGCUUGCGGCGUGCUUAACACAUGCAAGUCGAACGGAGUGGCGAACGGGUGAGUAACACGUGGUUGACCCGCCCUGCACUUCGGGAUAAGCCUGGGCAACUUGGUCUAAUACCGGAUAGUGUGGGAUUGGCCCGCGGCCUAUCAGCUUGUUGGUUUGGUAAUGGCCUACCAAGGCGGCGACGGGUAGCCGGCAUGCGAGUGUUGACGGCCACAUUGGGACUGAGACACGGACCAGACUACUACGGGAGGCAGCAGUGGGGAAUAUGGCACCAUGGGCGGAAGACUGAUGCAGCGACGCCGCGUGGGGGAUGACGGGCUUCGGGUUGUAAACUCCUUUCACCAUCAACGCGGUAGAUGGAGAAGAAGCACCGACUAACUACGUGCCAGCAGCCGCGGUAAUAC